GACGAACGCUGGCGGCGUGCCUAAUACAUGCAAGUUGAGCGAUGAAGAUUGGUGCUUGCACCAAUUUGAAGAGCAGCGAACGGGUGAGUAGCGCGUGGGGAAUCUGCCUUUGAGCGGGGGACAACAUUUGGAAACGAAUGCUAAUACCGCAUAACAACUUUAAACAUAAGUUUUAAGUUUGAAAGAUGCAAUUGCAUCACUCAAAGAUGAUCCCGCGUUGUAUUAGCUAGUUGGUGAGGUAAAGGCUCACCAAGGCGAUGAUACAUAGCCGACCUGAGAGGGUGAUCGGCCACCUUGGGAACGAGGCAAGGCCCAAAAUCCUACGGGAGGCAGCAGUAGGGAAUCUUCGGCAAUGGACGAAAGUCUGACCGAGCAACGCCGCGUGAGUGAAGAAGGUUUUCGGAUCGUAAAACUCUGUUGGUAGAGAAGAACGUUGGUGAGAGUGGAAAGCUCAUCAAGUGACGGUAACUACCCAGAAAGGGACGGCUAACUACGUG
rnacentral:rRNA from 1 species